rnacentral:rRNA from 1 species
CAGUAGCCGCGGUAAUACGUAGGUGGCAAGCGUUGUCCGGAAUUAUUGGGCGUAAAGGGCUCGCAGGCGGUUUCUUAAGUCUGAUGUGAGAGCCCCCGGCUCAACCGGGGAGGGUCAUUGGAAACUGGGAAACUUGAGUGCAGAAGAGGAGAGUGGAAUUCCACGUGUAGCGGUGAAAUGCGUAGAUAUAUGGAGGAACACCAGUGGCGAAGGCGACUUUCUGGUCUGUAAUUGACGUUGAGGCUCGAAAGCGUGGGUAGCGAACAGGAUUAGAUACCCCAGUAGUCCCUGUCUCUUAUAC